rnacentral:rRNA from 1 species
UACGAAGGGGGCUAGCGUUGCUCGGAAUCACUGGGCGUAAAGCGCACGUAGGCGGGUCCUUAAGUCAGGGGUGAAAUCCCGGAGCUCAACUCCGGAACUGCCUUUGAUACUGGGGAUCUUGAGUCCGGAAGAGGAGAGUGGAAUUCCCGGUGUAGCGGUGAAAUGCGCAGAUAUCAGGAGGAACACCCGUGGCGAAAGCGGCUCUCUGGGACGGUACUGACGCUGAGACGCGAAAGCGUGGGGAGCAAACAGG